AGUGGCGGACGGGUGAGUAACGCGUGGGCAACCUGGCCUGUACAGGGGGAUAACACUUAGAAAUAGGUGCUAAUACCGCAUAACGGGGGAAGCCGCAUGGCUUUUCCCUGAAAACUCCGGUGGUACAGGAUGGGCCCGCGUCUGAUUAGCCAGUUGGCAGGGUAACGGCCUACCAAAGCGACGAUCAGUAGCCAGCCUGAGAGGGCGGACGGCCACACUGGGACUGAGACACGGCCCAGACUCCUACGGAAGGCAGCAG
rnacentral:rRNA from 1 species